AACAAACGCUGGCGGCGUGCCUAAUACAUGCAAGUCGAACGGGGUAGCAAUACCUAGUGGCGCACGGGUGAGUAACGCGUGGAUAAUCUGCCUUAGAGUGGGGGAUAACUAGUCGAAAGAUUAGCUAAUACCGCAUAAGACCACAAGAGCUGCGGCUCAAGGGGUCAAAGGUUUUUCGCUCUAAGAUGAGUCCGCGUAAGAUUAGCUAGUUGGUGAGGUAAUGGCUCACCAAGGCGACGAUCUUUAACUGGUCUGAGAGGAUGAUCAGUCACACUGGAACUGAGACACGGUCCAGACUCCUACGGGAGGCAGCAGUAGGGAAUAUUGCACAAUGGAGGAAACUCUGAUGCAGCGACGCCGCGUGAGUGAUGAAGGCCUUCGGGUCGUAAAGCUCUGCCGCAGGGGAAUAACACAAUGAAUGUACCCUGUAAGAAAGGAUCGGCUAACUUCGUG
rnacentral:rRNA from 1 species